GGGGGAACCUGUGGGCUGGAUCACCUCCUU
rnacentral:rRNA from 1 species